rnacentral:rRNA from 1 species
GACGAACGCUGGCGGCGUGCCUAAUACAUGCAAGUAGAACGCUGAAGGAGGAGCUUGCUUCUCCGGAUGAGUUGCGAACGGGUGAGUAACGCGUAGGUAACCUGCCUGGUAGCGGGGGAUAACUAUUGGAAACGAUAGCUAAUACCGCAUAAGGGUAGAUGUUGCAUGACAUUUGCUUAAAAGGUGCAAUUGCAUCACUACCAGAUGGACCUGCGUUGUAUUAGCUAGUUGGUGGGGUAACGGCUCACCAAGGCGACGAUACAUAGCCGACCUGAGAGGGUGAUCGGCCACACUGGGACUGAGACACGGCCCAGACUCCUACGGGAGGCAGCAGUAGGGAAUCUUCGGCAAUGGACGGAAGUCUGACUGAGCAACGCCGCGUGAGUGAAGAAGGUUUUCGGAUCGUAAAGCUCUGUUGUAAGAGAAGAACGAGUGUGAGAGUGGAAAGUUCACACUGUGACGGUAUCUUACCAGAAAGGGACGGCUAACUACGUGCCAGCAGCCGCGGUAAUACGUAGGUCCCGAGCGUUGUCCGGAUUUAUUGGGCGUAAGGCGAGCGCAGGCGGUUAGAUAAGUCUGAGGUUAAAGGCUGUGGCUUAACCAUAGUACGCUUUGGAGACUGUUUAACUUUGAGUGCAAGAGGGGAGACUGGAAUUCCAUGUGUAGCGGUGAAUGCGUAUAUAUAUGGAGGAACAACGGUGGCGAAGAAGGCUC